UACGUAGGGGGCUAGCGUUGUCCGGAAUCAUUGGGCGUAAAGCGCGUGUAGGCGGUUCGGUAAGUCUGCUGUGAAAGUCGGGGGCUCAACCCUCGAAUGCCGGUGGAUACUGUCGGACUAGAGUGCGGAAGAGGCGAGUGGAAUUCCUGGUGUAGCGGUGAAAUGCGCAGAUAUCAGGAGGAACACCAAUUGCGAAGGCAGCUCGCUGGGACGCUACUGACGCUGAGACGCGAAAGCGUGGGGAGCAAACAGG
rnacentral:rRNA from 1 species